AGAGUUUGAUCCUGGCUCAGGACGAACGCUGGCGGCGUGCCUAAUACAUGCAAGUCGAACGAGAGCGACCGGUGCUUGCACUGGUCAAUCUAGUGGCGAACGGGUGAGUAACACGUGGGUAACCUGCCCAUCAGAGGGGGAUAACAUUCGGAAACGGAUGCUAAAACCGCAUAGGUCCUUUAACCGCAUGGUUGAAGGAGGAAAAGAGGCGCAAGCUUCUGCUGAUGGAUGGACCCGCGGUGCAUUAGCUAGUUGGUGAGGUAACGGCUCACCAAGGCCGUGAUGCAUAGCCGACCUGAGAGGGUGAUCGGCCACAUUGGGACUGAGACACGGCCCAAACUCCUACGGGAGGCAGCAGUAGGGAAUCUUCCGCAAUGGACGCAAGUCUGACGGAGCAACGCCGCGUGAGUGAAGAAGGUUUUCGGAUCGUAAAACUCUGUUGUUAGAGAAGAACAAGUGCUAGAGUAACUGUUAGCACCUUGACGGUAUCUAACCAGAAAGCCACGGCUAACUACGUGCCAGCAGCCGCGGUAAUACGUAGGUGGCAAGCGUUGUCCGGAUUUAUUGGGCGUAAAGCGAGCGCAGGCGGUUCCUUAAGUCUGAUGUGAAAGCCCCCGGCUCAACCGGGGAGGGUCAUUGGAAACUGGGGAACUUGAGUGCAGAAGAGGAGAGUGGAAUUCCAUGUGUAGCGGUGAAAUGCGUAGAUAUAUGGAGGAACACCAGUGGCGAAGGCGACUCUCUGGUCUGUAACUGACGCUGAGGCUCGAAAGCGUGGGUAGCAAACAGGAUUAGAUACCCUGGUAGUCCACGCCGUAAACGAUGAG
rnacentral:rRNA from 1 species